rnacentral:rRNA from 1 species
AUGGCCUUGGUGCAGAAGUAUGGGAAACCAGAUAUCUUUUUAACCAUGACUUGCAACCCGAAUUGGGAUGAGAUAAUUGGUGCGUUGGAGCCUGGACAAACCCCAUAGGAUCGCCCUGAUCUUGUUGUACGAGUAUUUAGAGCAAAGUUGGAAGACCUCAAGAACCUUUUCAAAAAGCACAUGCUCGGCAAGGUAGCAACAUAUGCAUAUGUUGUCAAGUUCCAGAAAAGGGGUCUACCACAUGCUAAUUUCCUCCUCAUCAUGGAGGGGAGGUACAAGCUAACAUGCCUAGAGCAAUAUGAUUGUAUCAUAUCUGCUGAAUUUCCAGACAAAUUCAAGUACUGUGAGUUGUACAAGAUGGUCGUCAAGCACAUGAUGCAUGGCCCUUGUGCAGUCCUAAACCCCAAAAAUGUGUGCAUGCAGAAUGGUAGUUGCAAGAACUACUAUCCACGGCCAUUUAAUGUGUCAACUCUUCAGGGAAAGGACUCAUAUCCCAUAUACAAGAGGAGAGAUGAUGGACGUCGUGCAAAGGUACAAUGUGAAGAAUUAGACAAUAGGUGA